rnacentral:rRNA from 1 species
UAGCCGUAAACGAUACUCGCUAGGUGUCGGCCACGGUGCGACCGUUGUCGGUGCCGUAGGGAAGCCGUGAAGCGAGCCGCCUGGGAAGUACGGCCGCAAGGCUGAAACUUAAAGGAAUUGGCGGGGGAGCACCACAACGGGUGGAGCUUGCGGUUUAAUUGGAUUCAACGCCGGAAAUCUUACCGGGACCGACAGCAACAUGAAGGCCAAGCUGAAGACUUUGCCGGAUUAGCUGAGAGGUGGUGCAUGGCGUAGUCGUGU